rnacentral:rRNA from 1 species
UACGGAGGGUGCAAGCGUUAUCCGGAUUCACUGGGUUUAAAGGGUGCGUAGGAGGGCAGGUAAGUCAGUGGUGAAAUCUCCGAGCUUAACUUGGAAACUGCCGUUGAUACUAUCUGUCUUGAAUAUUGUGGAGGUGAGCGGAAUAUGUCAUGUAGCGGUGAAAUGCCUAGAUAUGACAUAGAACACCAAUUGCGAAGGCAGCUCGCUACACAUAUAUUGACUCUGAGGCACGAAAGCGUGGGGAUCAAACAGG